CCUACGGGUGGCAGCAGUGAGGAAUAUUGGUCAAUGGACGAGAGUCUGAACCAGCCAAGUAGCGUGAAGGAUGACUGCCCUAUGGGUUGUAAACUUCUUUUAUAUGGGAAUAAAAUGUUCCACGUGUGGGAUUUUGUAUGUACCAUAUGAAUACGGAUCGGCUAACUCCGUGCCAGCAGCCGCGGUAAUACGGAGGAUCCGAGCGUUAUCCGGAUUUAUUGGGUUUAAAGGGAGCGUAGGUGGAUUGUUAAGUCAGUUGUGAAAGUUUGCGGCUCAACCGUAAAAGUGCAGUUGAAACUGGCAGUCUUGAGUACAGUAGAGGUGGGCGGAAUUCGUGGUGUAGCGGUGAAAUGCUUAGAUAUCACGAAGAACUCCGAUUGCGAAGGCAGUUCACUGGACUGCAACUGACACUGAGGCUCGAAAGUGUGGGUAUCAAACAGGAUUAGAUACACUAGUAGUC
rnacentral:rRNA from 1 species